rnacentral:rRNA from 1 species
AUUAAACUGAAGAGUUUGAUCCUGGCUCAGAUUGAACGCUGGCGGCAUGCUUUACACAUGCAAGUCGAACGGCAGCGCGGGGCAACCUGGCGGCGAGUGGCGAACGGGUGAGUAAUACAUCGGAACGUACCCAGAAGUGGGGGAUAACGUAGCGAAAGUUACGCUAAUACCGCAUACGUUCUACGGAAGAAAGUGGGGGAUCUUCGGACCUCAUGCUUUUGGAGCGGCCGAUGUCUGAUUAGCUAGUUGGUGAGGUAAAGGCUCACCAAGGCGACGAUCAGUAGCUGGUCUGAGAGGACGACCAGCCACACUGGGACUGAGACACGGCCCAGACUCCUACGGGAGGCAGCAGUGGGGAAUUUUGGACAAUGGGCGCAAGCCUGAUCCAGCAAUGCCGCGUGAGUGAAGAAGGCCUUCGGGUUGUAAAGCUCUUUUGUCAGGGAAGAAACGGU